AAACUCAAAUGAAUUGACGGGGACCCGCACAAGCAGCGGAGCGUGUGGUUUAAUUCGUUGCUACACGAAGAACCUUACCUGGGUUUGACAUAUAGGUUGUAGGGAACUGAAAGGACCGACCUUCGGGGAGCCUAUACAGGUGUUGCAUGGCUGUCGUCAGCUCGUGUCGUGAGAUGUUCGGUUAAGUCCGCUAACGAGCGCAACCCUCGUCGUAUGUUAUAUGUGUCAUACGAGACUGCCGGUAAAAGCCGGAGGAAGGUGAGGAUGAUGUCAAGUCAGCAUGACCUUUAUAUCCAGGGCUACACACACGCUACAAUGGUCUGUACAAUGGGUAGCCACUUAGCGAUAAGGCGCGAAUCCCGUAAAACCUGUCUCAGUCCGGAUUGGAGUCUGCAACUCGACUCCAUGAAGUUGGAAUCGCUAGUAAUCGCAGAUCAGCACGCUGCGGUGAAUACGUUCCCGGGCCUU
rnacentral:rRNA from 1 species